rnacentral:rRNA from 1 species
GUGGGGAAUAUUGGGCAAUGGGGGCAACCCUGACCCAGCGACGCCGCGUGAGGGAAGAAGGCCUUAGGGUCGUAAACCUCUGUUGUGUGGGAAGAAGGAAGUGACGGUACCACACGAGGAAGUCCCGGCUAACUACGUGCCAGCAGUCGCGGUAAUACGUAGGGGACGAGCGUUGUCCGGAAUUACUGGGCGUAAAGGGCGCGUAGGCGGUCAUUUAAGUCAGCUGUGAAAUGGUCCGGCUCAACCGGAUCAUGCGGUUGAAACUGGAUGACUGGAGUGCUGGAGAGGCAAGUGGAAUGCCCAGUGUAGCGGUGAAAUGCGUAGAUAUUGGGAAGAACACCGGUGGCGAAGGCGACUUGCUGGCCAGCAACUGACGCUGAGGCGCGAAAGCCAGGGGAGCAAACGGGAUUAGAAACCCUGGUAGUCC